rnacentral:tRNA from 1 species
UAGACGGAUGCCCGCUGGUUUAGGUGCUUAGCUGUUAAUUAAGUGUUUGUAGGAUCGAGGCCUGCUCGUCUAGG